UGGGGAAUUUUGCACAAUGGGGGAAACCCUGAUGCAGCGACGCCGCGUGAUUUAGAAGGCCUUCGGGUUGUAAAAAUCUUUUCUAUGGGAAGAAAAUGACAGUACCAUAGGAAUAAGGACCGGCUAAUUACGUGCCAGCAGCCGCGGUAAUACGUAAGGUCCGAGCGUUGUCCGGAAUCAUCGGGCGUAAAGGGUACGUAGGCGGGUAAGCAAGUUAGAAGUGAAAUCCUAUAGCUCAACUAUAGUAAGCUUUUAAAACUGCUCAUCUUGAGGUAUGGAAGGGAAAGUGGAAUUCCUAGUGUAGCGGUGAAAUGCGCAGAUAUUAGGAGGAAUACCGGUGGCGAAGGCGACUUUCUGGCCAUAACCUGACGCUGAGGUACGAAAGCGUGGGUAGCAAACAGG
rnacentral:rRNA from 1 species